rnacentral:rRNA from 1 species
UACGUAGGGUGCGAGCGUUGUCCAAUUACUGGGCGUAAAGAGCUCGUAGGUGGUUUGUCGCGUUGUUCGUGAAAACUCACAGCUUAACUGUGGGCGUGCGGGCGAUACGGGCAGACUGGAGUACUGCAGGGGAGACUGGAAUUCCUGGUGUAGCGGUGGAAUGCGCAGAUAUCAGGAGGAACACCGGUGGCGAAGGCGGGUCUCUGGGCAGUAACUGACGCUGAGGAGCGAAAGCGUGGGGAGCGAACAGG